GGGGCAUUGGCUCAGCUGGAUAGAGCGUCGGCCUCCGGAGCCGAAGGUCGCAGGUUCGAAUCCUGCAUGCCCCA
rnacentral:tRNA from 1 species